UCUUUCAAUGCUCUUGCAAUCAGGCACUAGUAUGGGGGCGGGGUAUGUGUGUGAGUCCUGAUGCACACACCUAGCUCCCAACAUAGAGACCUGCUGGCUGAGCCAUACUUCCCUGAGGACGCCAAUCCAAGCAGAAGCUGAUCCUCUGAGCAAGGGAACUGGGAAACCACCCCCCACCCCCGCGCACCCUGUUGCUGUCUGAGCGUUUGCCACCCAGUAGCACUUCAGUGCUUCGGAGCUGGAGCCUUUCUUAGAUCUUCAGUCCGUAGGGGACAAUGAGAGGUCCAUCCUGAUGUGUUUUCAAGCAAGAAAGACGUGCCUGUGCCACUCCACGGUGAAUCGACACUAUCGGGCCACAUCCUCAGUGUUCCGUGACAUCGCUCUUCUCCAGACAUGAUAUCCCUUUGACAGACAUCUCUCUGACACUCUGGGCACUCCUGUCAAGCCUGGCAUAUGAUGGAACUCUGUUAACACUGGCUUUGGGGACAUCUGGAAUAACCACUCAAUGAGAGCUAGCCUCUCCAGAGUGAGGCUGAGCACAGGGCUCCCAACUCAGAAGUACAACUCAAGAUUGUGGCUUGGGUUUAGCUUCUCAUCUCAAAUCGUCUUGACUUGUCUGCCUUAAAAUUUCUACAUUUCACGUUGGUUUUGUGCAAGCCACAGCACAGUGACUCAGCGUGUGUAUUGCUUGUGCAACCAGGACCCUCACCUAAUCAAGAUAUGUCAGUCUUUCAGGAGUUCCUGUGUUCCCCGGGCAGUCUGUCUCCCUCCCCUUCCCCCACAGGCAACGGUGAUCUGAUCGGUCUAAAUGCAUGAGUGCAGACGGUUGAUAACAUUUUUUCAGAGAGAGACGUGAGCACACACCAGCACGAGCCGUUGGCUGGGGAGGAAAGUUAACUUCCCCCAAGGGCCUGCUCUUGGAUGAUGGAUGUGGAGGAGGAGGAAGGCUGUGGGGACAAACAUCCCCAUGGGUCUGAAGGCUUGAAGAUGUCCCUCAUGGAAACCCCCUCCUAGGCCAGAGAAAAUUGAUCCCAGAUCACUUCAAAAAGAGCCAUGUUGACCUCUUCUUCUAAAGCUAAGAAUAAAACCUGUUAAAUAUUUACCUGA